rnacentral:misc_RNA from 1 species
AAGACUAUAGACCUGCGGAGUACCUGCGGAGGGAUCACUAACGUAUCUAUGAUGGGGUGCGGAGCGCCCUGCUCCGGUCGAACGGCCGUGCAGCGGGUGCGCCGCCCCCGUCCCACCUCACAAACCCACUGUGAACAUUCACCGGUGGAGGGGGCUCGGUCUGCGCCGUGUCCCCGAUGCCGAAUACCCAAACUCCAGUUGCAAAGAACGUCGUGCGGACUCGGUGCCGCCUAAAACAUG